rnacentral:rRNA from 1 species
UUCCGGUUGAUCCUGCCGGAGGCUACCGCUAUUGGAGUUCGAUUAAGCCAUGCGAGUCGCGAGUCUUAGGGACUCGGCGUACCGCUCAGUAACACGUGGGUAACCUGCCCUAUGCUGGGGGAUAACCUCGGGAAACUGAGAAUAAUACCCCAUAGUUCACCACGCCUGGAACGGUGGGUGGAUGAAAGCUCCGGCGGCAUAGGAUGGGCCUGCGGCGUAUCAGGUUGUAGGGGGUGUAAUGUACCCUCUAGCCAUCUACGCGUACGGGUGUUGGGAGACAUCGCCCGGAGAUGGAUUCUGAGACACGAAUCCAGACCCUACGGGGUGCAGCAGGCGCGAAAACUUGGCAAUGCGAGCAAUCGUGACCAGGGAACUCCAAGUGCAUCGGGUAAGACCGAUGCUUUUCUUGACUCUUCAAAGGUCUUGGAAUAAGGGGUGGGUAAGGACGGUGCCAGCCGCCGCGGUAAUACCGGCGCCUCAAGUGGUAGUCGCUUUUAUUGGGCCUAAAACGUCCGUAGCCGGUUUGGUACAUUCGUGGGUAAAUCAAGGCGCUCAACGUCUUGAAUUCUGCGAGCACGGCCAGACUUGGGACCGGGUGAGGUGUGGGGUACUCUCAGGGUAGGGGUAAAAUCCUGUCAUCCUGAGAGGACCACCUGUUGCGAAGGCGCCACACUAGAACGGAUCCGACGGUCAGGGACGAAGCCUAGGGGCACGAACCGGAUUAGAUACCCGGGUAGUCCUAGGUGUAAACGCUGUGGACUUGAU